ensembl:lncRNA
CCCGAUGUCACAAUAACAACGCUAAUGAUAGAUUGACAUCUGGUGUGGGGAGUUUGACGUGGCGAUCUGUGAGAGGAUUAUGGAGGCGGAGUAACCACAUAAAAAGAGAAGUGCAGAGACCAAAAAGGAGGUGAAUUUCUGGGACGUUUGGGCUGGCGUGUGGAGGUAUUCGAGGACUAUUGUGGGGUUUCGGCUAUCUGGCUGUGCAACAGUUAUAUCAGCGAUCGAGUGGAGAUAUUCGGGACAGAAAGAGUGUGAGUUCUGGAAAGCAAGUGGAGACCAGGCCGUGCCAUCCCUAUCGGAGGGAAGUUAAGAGAUCUGAUCUGGGACUUCGAUCAAUUGUAUACAUCUGGACUGGGAGUGAUAACGUUGUGAAGUGGACGGAGCCAUCGUUGGAUCGCAGGAUCCUCUGGGCUGAACGCCGCAUGUGAUGUCCCUAUGAAAGGAGGUGGACACAAGAAUUAUUCUUUUCCUGGCACUGACCGAAGCAUCUCCCAGCCGUAAGCCCCAUUACUUAUUCAAGAACACCUACUUACUGUUGAUUACUUACUCUGCUGUGCAGAUCGCAGGAUCCUCUGGGCUGAACGCCGCAUGUGAUGUCCCUAUGAAAGGAGGUGGACACAAGAAUUAUUCUUUUCCUGGUUACAACCGAAGCAUCUCCCAGCCGUAAGCCCCAUUACUUAUUCUAGAACACAUACUUACUGUUGGUUACUUACUCUGCGGUGCAGAUCGCAGGAUCCUCUGGGCUGAACGCCGCAUGUGAUGUCCCUAUGAAAAGAGAUUGCAGGAUCCUCUGGGCUGGACGCUGCAUGUGAUGUCCCUGUAAAAGGAGGUGGACACGAGAAUUAUUCCUUUUCCCGGUCUCGACCGAAACAUCCACGAGCUCUACUUACCCGGAUAUCCCCCCCUCAUUCCGGGACGGGUGACAGACUAUCCUGGCUCUUGCCGGCCCCGUACAGGCACGAACUGCCGACGACUCCACGCCUCCCCGGCGUCCGAGGUCUGGCUUCGUUCUGGUCGGGAGACACGGAAGGAACACUGAACUUUUAAAUUGCUUUUAACCAAAUAAAACCUUGUUCAAUUUUUUUUAUA